GCCGGGCGUGGUGGCACAUGCCUGUAAUCCCAGCUACCUGGGAGGCUGAGGCAGGAGAAUUGCUUGAAUCCGGGAGGCCGAGGUUGCAGUGAGCCGAGAUCAUGCCACUGCACUCCAGCUUGGGUGACAGAGCGAGAUUCGGUCUCAA
rfam:Homo sapiens chromosome 17, GRCh38 reference primary assembly.